rnacentral:misc_RNA from 1 species
AAGUCGUAACAAGGUUUCCGUAGGUGAACCUGCGGAAGGAUCAUUAACACUUUGUUAACCCAAUACCAACCCAAUGUGAACUGUAGCGUCCCUAUCCAUUAUUAGUAGUAGGUUUCGGCUUAUGAAAGUUAGUGCGGUAGACAAUACCCUCUUAGUAGUCAUCCAGGCAAGGCCUAAAAAUCUUGUUUGUGAUGAUGAACAUAUAUUAACCACUUUAACCCUAUAAUUUACAAUUGUCUAAUCUUCAUAAACUUAUAAACUGCUUCGGUGGUUAAUAGGAUUUACGAAAUAUUGAACAACUCUUAGCAAUGGAUAUCUUGGGUCAU